UGUAACUUGAAUCCAAAGUCACUUAUUUUCUCUGAAUUAUUAAAUAAUCCUACGCUUUUUCUAAAAAUUAUCAUACUAAUUAAAGUUACAGUUUGUAAAUAAAUGACACAAUAUGGUUACGGGGACAUUAAAACACUUUCAUACAGCAUUAUAUAUAAUAAUAUGUGUUGACGCAAUGAUUAAAGAAGUGAUCUAACCUUAGAUCUUGAAGAAGUUUUGGUGAUGAGUUUGGUUGGGAGGUUGGAUUCUUCGCUAGCUGAAGUGGUGGCGGACCAUGAGCAUGUAAGCGGGGUGGUGGGGCUAGCUCUGAUGGAAGACUCUGAUUUUGGGAUGGACCUGGAGCGGGGUUGACGGAUGGUCCAGUGGAGUUGAAGUGAGGGAGGUGGUGGUGGGUUGUUGAAGUGGAGGAGAAGGUUGGCUACGAUGGAAUCGUUAGCCAUGGCUAAGUUGACCCAAUCAUAGUCGCACAUUUGUGGUAGAUUAGAAAUAGAGAAUAAGAAGGAAUGAGAGAAGUGGAAGGUUUCAGGUUUUUUUCUUUUUUUUUUGGUUUGUGUUGCGUGCGUGGAUGGUUUCUUUAUGUGCAAGAUUAUUAUUCCAUUCAUUUGGUCCCACCUUUUUGCACGUGACAUUGCCAAACCAAACUCUGUCUGUUUCUUUUCUUCUUUUUGUUUUGCUUCCUUCAGAUUUACCAUGCUCGUGCAAGAGGGUAAUUAAAAU
rnacentral:lncRNA from 1 species